AGUAAAUAGAUACCCCGGUAGUCCACGCCGUAAACAAUGUCGACUUGGAGGUUGUGCCCUUGAGGCGUGGCUUCCGGAGCUAAACGCGUUAAAGUCGACCGCCUGGGGAGUACGGCCGCAAGGUUAAAACUCAAAUGAAUUGACGGGGGCCCGCACAAGCGGUGGAGCAUGUGGUUUAAUUCGAUGCAACGCGAAGAACCUUACCUACUCUUGACAUCCAGAGAACUUAGCAGAGAUGCUUUGGUGCCUUCGGGAACUCUGAGACAGGUGCUGCAUGGCUGUCGUCAGCUCGUGUUGUGAAAUGUUGGGUUAAGUCCCGCAACGAGCGCAACCCUUAUCCUUUGUUGCCAGCGGUCCGGCCGGGAACUCAAAGGAGACUGCCAGUGAUAAACUGGAGGAAGGUGGGGAUGACGUCAAGUCAUCAUGGCCCUUACGAGUAGGGCUACACACGUGCUACAAUGGCGCAUACAAAGAGAAGCGACCUCGCGAGAGCAAGCGGACCUCAUAAAGUGCGUCGUAGUCCGG
rnacentral:rRNA from 1 species